UACGGAGGGUGCAAACGUUGCUCGGAAUCAUUGGGCGUAAAGCGCACGUAGGCGGUCCAGCAAGUCGGGUGUGAAAGCCCUCGGCUUAACCGAGGAAGUGCAUUCGAAACUACAUGGGCUUGAGUACUGAAGAGGAUCGCGGAAUUCCCGGUGUGAGAGGUGAAAUUCGUAGAUAGUCGGGAGGAACACCAGUGGCGAAGGCGGCGAUCUGGGGCAGAUACUGAGCGCUGAUGUGCGAAAGCGUGGGGAGCAAACAGG
rnacentral:rRNA from 1 species